AGUGAACGCUGGCGGUAGGCCUAACACAUGCAAGUCGAACGGCAGCACAGUAAGAGCUUGCUCUUACGGGUGGCGAGUGGCGGACGGGUGAGGAAUACAUCGGAAUCUACUUUUUCGUGGGGGAUAACGUAGGGAAACUUACGCUAAUACCGCAUACGACCUACGGGUGAAAGCAGGGGAUCUUCGGACCUUGCGCGAUUGAAUGAGCCGAUGUCGGAUUAGCUAGUUGGCGGGGUAAAGGCCCACAAAGGCGACGAUCCGUAGCUGGUCUGAGAGGAUGAUCCGCCACACUGUAACUGAGACACGGUCCAGACUCCUACGGGAGGCAGCAGUGGGGAAUCUUGCACAAUGGGCGCAAGCCUGAUCCAGCCAUACCGCGUGGGUGCAGAAGGCCUUCGGGUUGUAAAGCCCUUUUGUUGGGAAAGAAAAGCAGCAGGUUAAUACCCCGCUGUUCUGACGGUACCCAAAGAAUAAGCACCGGCUAACUUCGUG
rnacentral:rRNA from 1 species